rnacentral:tRNA from 1 species
UCCCUGGUGGCUCAGAGGUUAAAGCAUCUGCCUCCAAUGCGGGAGACCCUGGUUCGGUUCCUGGGUUGGGAA